CCUANGGGAGGCAGUAGUGAGGAAUAUUGCGCAAUGGGGGAAACCCUGACGCAGCGAUGCCGCGUGAGUGAAGAAGGCCUUCGGGUCGUAAAGCUCUGUCAAGUGGGAAGAACAGCCUUAGGGCUAAUAUCCUUAAGGUGUGACGGUACCACUGAAGGAAGCACCGGCUAACUCCGUGCCAGCAGCCGCGGUAAGACGGAGGGUGCAAGCGUUAUUCGGAUUUAUUGGGCGUAAAGAGCGUGUAGGCGGCCGGUCAAGCCAGAUGUGAAAGCCCAGGGCUUAACCCUGGAAGUGCAUUUGGAACUGGUUGGCUUGAGUUCGGGAGAGGGAAGUGGAAUUCCGGGUGUAGAGGUGAAAUUCGUAGAUAUCCGGAGGAACACCGGUGGCGAAGGCGACUUCCUGGACCGAAACUGACGCUGAGACGCGAAAGCGUGGGGAGCAAACAGGAUUAGAUACCCCUNUANUC
rnacentral:rRNA from 1 species